rnacentral:lncRNA from 1 species
GCAGUGAGCACACCAGCAGGCUUCUGUCCCCAGCCAGGGCCCGUUCCUCUGGGUGGCCCUGGCUCGGGCCUCCGGUGGAGCCUCCUGCUCUGCGGAUCUUCUGGUUUCUCAUCUGCCCUCCCCUGAGCCCUGGGAGGACGGCGCUCACCGACACACUGGAGCUGCGCAGUUUCAGGCCACUGUUCCCAGACUUGCACUGACUCCAUGAUGAUCAACUCUGCCCAGGAAGUUGUCUCAGAGGGUCACCAGGAAGUGCACGGUCCAGGUGGGCAUUGGGUCAUCCCAGCCCCAGAAAGGCUUCAGCAUCAGAGGGCUGCAAAAAUCUGUGUCCCCUGGCCCCCACGGGACACAGUUCUGCAGAUACAGGGCUUCCCAGCAGGGCCCCAGUUCCAGCCCUCCUUGCUUCCAGGCACAGGCACAAGCUUCUUCUCAAAAAGACUGUGAGUGGAAGGGAAGUGGGCCACUUCCGGGCUGAGGUUUCUGAGAUAGGGCUGGGCCAUCCCCCUGGCCACUUUCCUUCUUUGCCAGCUGCACACAGAGGGCUCUGACUCUCCCUGAACAGCAGAGCCACAGGGGUCCCUGAGUCAGCCAGGAAGAGGGCCACCUGCCCACCAGAAGCACCACAUGGAGCUGUUCAGGAAGCAAGAAUUAACGGUGUUACAUGAAGCCACUGAAAUGCGGAGGUUUUGCUUGUUAGAUGCUAUUAUAAGUUCCCUAAUAUGGCAUGUUAUAAAUCAUCUCUGGCUGCCUCUGAAUACAGUGUGUUUUCUAAACCAAAAGUCGCAGAGUUUAUUCCCGCCUUCUUUAAACCUCCGCAGUGCAUGGCUUUCCCUCCUGGAUGUCACGCACCUGCCGGUCCCCUGAGCUUUGAGUACUGUCUCCCUGAGCCGCACGGGAUGGUCACGCAGGGUCAGGGCCCGUCUGGCCAUCGCUGUGUUCUUGGGCCCAGCACAGGCUGUCCCCCGGUGGCUGUUUAGAAGAGGGGCAGGGCUAAUAGAUCCUAAUUGUCUCUGCCAUGCUCCUCCUGUCUGUUCUGGGAUCAGUGGACGCCUCGUUCCUCUUGUUUUUCAUUCGUGGGACUUUCAUGGGAAGCUAUUUCCCUGACGGCUGUUUGCACUGAUUUUUCUGAGACGAGCAACAUCCUUUGCUUCUUUUCCUCUAAUCAUCUGGAAAUGCUGUGUCUCUUGGCAUCGCUGUCUUGCCUGUCUUCCACCCACCAGCUGUCCAGCUCAGAGCACUCUCAAGAGAGUUAGCUCUGGAAGAAGGACACAACCCCCUUCAGAAGGUUCUGAAAUGUAGAAUGCUGCCUCUCCCUGGGGCUGGGGAGUUAAGGGAAAGCACGGUGUGGGAGGGAGAAAAGCAGGACUCACCUCUGCAACCCGAGGCUGCCUGCCGAGCAGGACAGGAAAGCAGGAGGUGGGGGGAGGAGGAGAAAGACUCCUUUGGGGGCAGGAGCCUGAGUUCAUAUCCCGCUCAACCACGGGCUCGCAGAUCCCCAAACUAGAGGAGAUCCGAGGUGCAGGAAGAAUGAAUACCCAGUGCUUGCUCCCCUUUCAGGCAAAAGAAUCAUUCUGUUCAUUUGACAGAUGAGAAAACUGAGGCCGAGGGAGUUCAGGUAAUUGGGAAACUAAGACUCAGCCGGGAAAGUGAUCUGGUCAGGACACACG